CGACUUCAUUAAGAAAAGCAGUUUUUAUUACAAAAAUAUUAAAAAGGGUCCUGGGGCAGGAGUGGAUUUGACAGACAGGUCUGUUGGUCUGAGAGUAACUGUAGGCCGGCAUACAGAUCUCUCCAUCACAGAGAAAGCACUGUAGUGUCUUGUUGGCUCCUGCCCCAGGAACUACUAAAAAAAAAAAACCAUGAGUUCUUCACCUGAAAACUCUGGUCUUAUUCUACCGAGUGCCAAUCAUGUUUAUUUAUCUCUUUCAAGAAGUGAAUCGUGUGAGGAGACGGAUGAAGAUUUUAUUCUAAAAAUUACUGAUUCUGGAAUCUUUUAUAAAGACUACUCUAAUAAAAUAAAAUCCUUGGAAUAUUUAAUUUAUAAAUCCAAUUAUCAAUUCCAAGAUAUUAAGAAUUAUAAACAUAUUAGUCUCAAAAAGGAAAAGAAUGCAAUUUUUAAUCGUUUUUUUAAUGAUCUUGGUAAAGAAACUAAGAAAACACUGAAAUUGAAAAAACAGCUUGCUUUUAUAUGUUUUAGAAAAAAAGAUGGAUUAUUUGACAUGAAUAGAUGGAAAGUUUAUAAAAAAUCAGAUUUACCAAAAGAAGAGCAUACUGAAGAUAAAAUAUUUGAACUGCUUCUAGAAAUGUAUGAUGAAGAUGAGUGUUGUUUUUCAGAAAUAUAUAUAUUUACUACAAAUAGCCCAUGUUUGGCAAGACCCAACCAUGUGCCCUGCAUGAUUCAGGCUGUUGAAAUAGCAAUGAUGUUAUAUAAAAAGCAUGGCAUAAAAACCACUAUUGGAUAUCUUGAACCCUGGGGUUUCAGUGGUUCGUAUGAAAACGUUUUGCCUGAAUGCUCUAUUAAAGAUUGCAGUUAUUAUUUUGAGUCCCAAAUGCUAGGAAGCAAAGAUAUGAUUAAUAACUCACCCCAAACACCAACUAAAAGAAUAGAAAUUGACAUGGAAUUAAUAAGCCCAAUUUACAAACAAAUUAUUCCAGAAGUAGAAAAUCUAAAAUUUUCCAUGAAAGAUAGUAAAAAAACGGAGACCAGAAGACCACAACCAAAACUUGAUCUUGCACAAUUUUGUUCAAAAAUAUCCAAACCUGAUAGCAAAGAAAAAUUUCUGAAAAACUUAAAUAAAAUCAUAUCAGAUUUAUUUAAAAAAGAUUUAGACAAAACUUUUGGUGAUUUCAAAAACCAUGGUUUGGAAAUGUUUGCGAAAUGCAUGAAAAAGAUAAACGAUCUUUUAAUGGAAAUUGACUAUGCAAAUAUUUACGAAGAAAUCCACGAAUAUCUGAAAAGCGUUUUCUUUCCUUGGUGGGCUGGAAAAGUGGAAGAUGCAUCCAGCAAGUUCUUAAAAAAGCAAACCAGUUCCUUUCUACAAGAAAGUGCUGUUUUUCAUUCCCUUAGAGACAUAAAAGAAACAGACAUUUUUUUCGAUAUUGGUUAUGUGAUUCUCGAAAAUUGGAAUAUUUAG
ensembl:lncRNA